rnacentral:rRNA from 1 species
UACGUAGGCAGCAAGCGUUGUUCGGAGUUACUGGGCGUAAAGGGUGUGUAGGCGGUUGCUUAAGUUUGGUGUGAAAUCUCCCGGCUUAACUGGGAGGGUGCGCCGAAUACUGAGUGACUCGAGUGCGGGAGAGGAGAGUGGAAUUCCUGGUGUAGCGGUGAAAUGCGUAGAUAUCAGGAGGAACACCGGUGGUGUAGACGGCUCUCUGGACCGUAACUGACGCUGAGACACGAAAGCGUGGGUAGCAAACAGG